UACGUAGGUGGCAAGCGUUGUCCGGAUUUAUUGGGUUUAAAGGGUGCGUAGGCGGUUUCUUAAGUCAGUGGUGAAAUACGGCAGCUCAACUGUCGAGGUGCCAUUGAUACUGGGGAACUUGAGUACUGAUGAGGUAGGCGGAAUGGACGGUGUAGCGGUGAAAUGCUUAGAUAUCGUCCAGAACACCGAUAGCGAAGGCAGCUUACUAAGGAGUAACUGACGCUGAGGCACGAAAGUGUGGGGAUCAAACAGG
rnacentral:rRNA from 1 species